AUACGGAGGGUGCGAGCGUUAAUGGGAAUUACUGGGCGUAAAGCGCGCGUAGGCGGUUUGGUCAGUCGGAUGUGAAAGCCCCAGGCUCAACCUGGGAAUGGCAUUCGAUACUGCCUGACUAGAGUAUGGUAGAGGGAAGUGGAAUUUCCGGUGUAGCGGUGAAAUGCGUAGAUAUCGGAAGGAACACCAGUGGCGAAGGCGACUUCCUGGGCCAAUACUGACGCUGAGGUGCGAAAGCGUGGGGAGCAAACAGGAUUAGAAACCCCAGUAGUCC
rnacentral:rRNA from 1 species